rnacentral:lncRNA from 10 species
GGCACGGCAGCCGCCUGCAGAAUGUGACCGUUGGGAGCGUCCCUGAGCGGGGUUUUCCGCAUUCCUCCGGGGCUGCUGGGCCAAGGUGGCUGUGUGUAAACAGAGCCUGCGUCUCCAGGCCUGGAUGUGGCCAGCCGGGCACUGCCCACUGGGAGGCUACAGAAUGGAGCUUCUCUGCAUUCCGGGCAGGGGCAGGAAUGUGACUUGCUAAGAUCCCAGCCAGAGGGGGCGUGGGAGCCAGGAUACCCGGGUCUCCAUACUGGAGGAGGCUGCCCCAUCUGUAGAAGCCGGAGAGCCUGAUGCCAGGGCCAGUCUCCAUACUGGAGGAAGCUGCCCCAUCUGUAGAAGCCGGAGAGCCUGGUGCCAGGGCCAAUCUCCAUACUGGAGGAAGCUGCCCCAUCUGUAGAAGCCGGAGAGCCUGGUGCCAGGGCCAGUCUCCAUACUGGAGGAAGCUGCCCCAUCUGUAGAAGCUGGGGAGCUGGGUGCCAGGGCCAGUCUCCAUACUGGAGGAAGCUGCCCCAUCUGUAGAAGCCGGGGAGCCAGGUGCCAGGGCCAUCCUCUGUGCCUUACACCAGCCCUUCGCUGUAGGAACCUUUUCUACAGAGACAGCGAUAAAGCUCUCGAGUCACAUAACCGCUCUCCUACAGUGUGCGCUUCGGUGGGGCCGGGGGACAGGAGGCGGCGGGGAGCAGUGCGGUCUGUGGCCCACGGCAAGCACCCGACACAUCUUCAGGAGAUGCGAGGGGACAGGCUUAUGGCGGCCACAUCUCAUCGGCUUUCAAGAGAAGCCUGACUGAACUUUUCUGUAACAUCUCUUGGCUGGAAAUUUUUAUGAGCAUUUUGAACCCUGUGCAGGCAGGCUGGGUUUGCAGUCUGUGGGUCAGAGCUCACCAAUAGAAAUAGCUAGAAAAAUUUAGUAUAAUAUGAUAUACAACAUAAUGUAAUAAAGUAUAAUGUAAUCUAAAGAUAUGAUGUAUGACAACCUGUCAUAUAACACAUAACAUGAUACGGUAUCCUAUUAUGAUGCAGAUACAUUAUAUCACAUAACAUCAUACAAUAUCUUAUGCAGGCUACAAACUCAAGCUACCCAAGUGAUUUUGGAGCCACAUUUAAAAAUAUGUAAAGAAACAGAUGAAGUUAAUUGUAUUGUAUCUGCAAAGUAUUCUCAUUCCACCAUGUGAUUGAUAC